UCACUGUACCAGUGAAGAGUUGAAGCAUCAUCAAAUGCAUCAGGUCCAUUCUGAAAUGUAAUGUUGUGGCCAACAGCUCUUAAUGAGGGGAAGUUAAGGGUGUUCCUGGUGCAUACGGUGAAUCAGCAGCUGCCAAGGCCUACCCAAAUUAUGUAGCAGUUCCCUGCGAACAAUUUGAAACUGCCUUCAAUGUGACUUUCUUUCUUCCACGUGCAAACAGGUACUACUAUUUAUGUUGGAAUGACUUACUGGCACUUGGUGGGGGUGUUAGCUUUGCAUUAUGCUUGGAUGGGGAUUUGUAAGUUCUUUUCUUUUCUUUCAAACCUGGAAAUUUUUACUCUUUC